CGAGCCCCACGUUGGGCGCCA
rnacentral:ncRNA from 3 species